ensembl:snRNA U2 U2 spliceosomal RNA
AUCGCUUCUUGGCCUUUUGGCUAAGAUCAAGUGUAGUAUCUGUUCGAGGCAUGGGGGUGUUUGGCAUCCUAGCUAAGGGAUGUCAAGAACCGGGACCCUCC